CAGCUGUCUCUUGUGCUUGAUCUAACCAUGUGGCCCCGCCUACUGUAACAUCACAUGGUUCCGUCAAGCGCCAGGGACCGCCU
rnacentral:pre_miRNA from 1 species